rnacentral:rRNA from 1 species
AGUGAACGCUGGCGGUAGGCCUAACACAUGCAAGUCGAACGGCAGCACAGUAAGAGCUUGCUCUUACGGGUGGCGAGUGGCGGACGGGUGAGGAAUACAUCGGAAUCUACUUUUUCGUGGGGGAUAACGUAGGGAAACUUACGCUAAUACCGCAUACGACCUACGGGUGAAAGCAGGGGAUCUUCGGACCUUGCGCGAUUGAAUGAGCCGAUGUCGGAUUAGCUAGUUGGCGGGGUAAAGGCCCACCAAGGCGACGAUCCGUAGCUGGUCUGAGAGGAUGAUCGGCCACACUGGAACUGAGACGCGGUCCAGACUCCUACGGGAGGCAGCAGUGGGGAAUAUUGGACAAAGGGCGCAAGCCUGAUCCAGCCAUACCGCGUGGGUGAAGAAGGCCUUCGGGUUGUAAAGCCCUUUUGUUGGGAAAGAAAAGCAGCAGGUUAAUACCCCGCUGUUCUGACGGUACCCAAAGAAUAAGCACCGGCUAACUUCGUG